rnacentral:rRNA from 1 species
UACGUAGGGGGCAAGCGUUAUCCGGAAUUAUUGGGCGUAAAGCGCGCGCAGGCGGUAAAAUAAGUCUGAUGUGAAAGCCCCCGGCUCAACCGGGGAGGGUCAUUGGAAACUGUUUUACUUGAGUACAGAAGAGGAGAGUGGAAUUCCAUGUGUAGCGGUGAAAUGCGCAGAGAUAUGGAGGAACACCAGUGGCGAAGGCGGCUCUCUGGGCUGUUACUGACGCUGAGGUGCGAAAGCGUGGGGAGCAAACAGG